rfam:Spinacia oleracea cultivar SynViroflay scaffold19431.con0006.1, whole genome shotgun sequence.
GUCUCUACGAAGACAUCUGAUAAAUUUGGAACAAUACAUAGAAGAUUAACAUAUGCCCCCUGCGCUAAGGAUAAUAGGAAUAAAUUGAGAAUUGUCCGUUUUU